rnacentral:rRNA from 1 species
ACUACGGGUGGCAGCAGUGAGGAAUAUUGGUCAAUGGGCGGAAGCCUGAACCAGCCAAGUAGCGUGCGGGAUGAAGGCCCUACGGGUCGUAAACCGCUUUUGCACGGGGAUAACACCCUCCACUUGUGGAGGUCUGCAGGUACCGUGCGAAUAAGGGACGGCCAAUUCCGUGCCAGCAGCCGCGGUAAUACGGAAGGCCCGAGGGUUAUCCGGAUUCAUUGGGCUUAAAGGGAGCGUAGGCGGGCGUUCAAGUCAGCGGUAAAAUUGCGGGGCUCAACCGCGCCCCGCAGUUGAAACUGGGCGCCUUGAGUGCACAACAGGCAGGCGGAAUUCGUGGUGUAGCGGUGAAAUGCAUAGAUAUCACGAGGAACCCCGAUUGCGAAGGCAGCCUGCCGGGGUGCGACUGACGCUGAGGCUCGAAGGUGCGGGUAUUAAACAGGAUUAGAUACCCUUGUAGUC